GUGAUGGAACUUGCUUCCUGAGCUGAUGACAGCCGCAGAAACCAGGCCGCUGCAACUGUUUAUUAAAAACAUAGCACUCUGCAAACACGAAAGUGGACGUAUAGGGUGUGAUGCCUGCCCGGUGCUGGAAGGUUAAUUGAUGGGGUUAGCGUAAGCGAAGCUCUUGAUCGAAGCCCCAGUAAACGGCGGCCGUAACUAUAACGGUCCUAAGGUAGCGAAAUUCCUUGUCGGGUAAGUUCCGACCUGCACGAAUGGCAUAAUGAUGGCGGCGCUGUCUCCAGCAGAGGCUCAGUGAAAUCGAAAUCGCUGUGAAGAUGCAGUGUACCCGCGGCUAGACGGAAAGACCCCGUGAACCUUUACUGCAGCUUGACACUGAACUUUGACCUUACUUGUGUAGGAUAGGUGGGAGGCUUUGAAGUUGGAACGCUAGUUCCAAUGGAGCCGUCCUUGAAAUACCACCCUGGUAAUGUUGAGGUUCUAACUCUGUCCCGUUAUCCGGGACGAGGACCGUGUCUGGUGGGUAGUUUGACUGGGGCGGUCUCCUCCUAAAGAGUAACGGAGGAGUACGAAGGUGCGCUCAGCGUGGUCGGAAAUCACGCGUAGAGUAUAAAGGCAAAAGCGCGCUUAACUGCGAGACCCACAAGUCGAGCAGGUACGAAAGUAGGUCUUAGUGAUCCGGUGGUUCUGUAUGGAAGGGCCAUCGCUCAACGGAUAAAAGGUACUCUGGGGAUAACAGGCUGAUACCGCCCAAGAGUUCAUAUCGACGGCGGUGUUUGGCACCUCGAUGUCGGCUCAUCUCAUCCUGGGGCUGA
rnacentral:rRNA from 1 species